ensembl:lncRNA
GGUAUUUGCUCUGUCCCUGGUUGUUAGAGGUAAUAUUUAAGAUUGGGCUGCUGAAGGGAAUUUUCUUGUCUCACCGUAUUAGUUUCUUUGUAAUGUAUAAUAUUUGUAGAGACUUUGUUUGUAGGAAUAAAUGUGCUCAUAGAGUACUUCUGAAGAGUGUAUUGCUGCACUGUGAAUGCUGUGUUUAUCUGUGUAAGUUCUGACCAACCUUGCACAGUUCUGCCUAGACAUGCUACAAUCACACUUCUGAUGGCAAAGUACACAUCCCUUAGGAGGUGCUGAACACUUGGAACUCCCACUGACUUCACUGCUCCCAGUUUUCGGUUUAUAUCAGCUGUGCAGAUGUGUUGCUUCACCAGACCAGAAUGUUACUUCCUCUGUCAGCAAUUUACUCUGGAAAGCAAUGAAAGAUUUAGCAGUUGGAUUUCAGAAUUAAACGUGAAGUCAAAACGAGCUCUUUUCCUGUGAGUCACCAGCACUUCUGCCACCUCAGAGGGGAUGAAGGUGGGUUGGUUUUUGUUGUCAUUCUCUGCCCCUAGGUAUGCAGGUAAUGGAUGUACUUCAGUUUUGGUCCACAGUUUAUUUAGCUAGUAACUAGGUAAGACCAUGCUGUUUUUGAUCCAUUUGUAUCUCAUGCAUCACACAUUGCAAGGCAGCAGAUCUUUGGUCCUUCUUGAAGCGUUCUGUGAUUUCACAGGUGGCCUUUUGUACUUAAAGUCAUUAGCCAUGUCUUUUCUGAAGGACAGCUUCUUCCAUCCUCUUCUGUUUGGUCCAUCUUCAGUUGUAUUAAUUAGUAACUUACUCCUGUCUCCGUGCUUUCUCAGUUGCACUGGGACCCUUUCCCUCUUGUGUUCUACCAACCCGUGCACAUGAGAGGCUGUCCCACCGCUGCCCAGCUUCUGUUUCCUCCCAGGGCUUCUAUAUGCAGCUUAGACGUGGACUGGUGAAAUGGGGGACUGUAAGUUCUUCCUGAGCUGCAUGGUGUGGUCCAUUCCCG